rnacentral:rRNA from 1 species
AUUGAACGCUGGCGGCAGGCCUAACACAUGCAAGUCGAACGAGUGGCGGACGGGUGAGUAAUGUCUGGGAAACUGCCUGAUGGAGGGGGAUAACGUCCGGAAAAGGGCGCUAAUACCGCAUACUAUCAGAUGAGCCUAGGUCGGAUUAGCUAGUUGGUGGGGUAAAGGCUCACCUAGGCGACGAUCCCUAGCUGGUCGGAGAGGAUGACCAGCCACACUGGAACUGAGACACGGUCCAGACUCCUACGGGAGGCAGCAGUGGGGAAUAUUGCACAAUGGGCGAAAGCCUGAUGCAGCCAUGCCGCGUGUAUGAAGAAGGCCUUCGGGUUGUAAAGUACUUUCAGCGGGGAGGCGUUACCCGCAGAAGAAGCACCGGCUAACUCCGUGCCAGCAGCCGCGGUAAUUC